rnacentral:rRNA from 1 species
GACGAACGCUGGCGGCGUGCUUAACACAUGCAAGUCGAACGGUGAAGCGCCUUCCUUUUUGGUGGGUGUGGAUGAGUGGCGAACGGGUGAGUAACACGUGAGUAACCUGCCCCCUUCUUCUGGAUAACCGCAUGAAAGUGUGGCUAAUACGGGAUAUUCUGGGUCUGUCGCAUGAUGGGUCUGGGAAAGAUAUUGUUUCGGUGGGGGAUGGGCUCGCGGCCUAUCAGCUUGUUGGUGGGGUGAUGGCCUACCAAGGCGGUGACGGGUAGCCGGCCUGGGAGGGUGGCCGAUCACACUGGGACUGAGACACGGCCCAGACUCCUACGGGAGGCAGCAGUGGGGAAUAUUGCACAAUGGGCGCAAGCCUGAUGCAGCGACGCCGCGUGAGGGAUGGAGGCCUUCGGGUUGUGAACCUCUUUCGCCAGUGAAGCAGGCCUGCCUCGUUUGUGGGUGGGUUGACGGUAGCUGGAUAAGAAGCGCCGGCUAACUACGUG